UAGAUGGCAAGAGAUGGGGCGGGAAAAGUCUAAGACGAUUAUAAGAACUCAGCACUCAACUGGUCGUGAUCAGCGAGAUCAAAAAGGGAUGUUUUGUGGCCGCGAAAAGGCAACAAGAACGCUGUUUGUCCAUUCAUGGAAGGCCGCUACCGCUCCUUACAUUUUUUUUAGCAUGGGGGAUUGAUGACUCGGUCUUUUCCUUAUGCUAGGAAAUGGACGGGUAAACGCUACUCCAGUUUUUUUCUUCGCGUUUGCUACCCGCCAUUGGAAAGGGAAGAACCGGUCAAGGGGGCCCGAUGAUUGGGACUCUAGAGGUACACAUCCAGUGCACACUUUUGUCUAGCACCUUGCUUUCACAGGUAUGACUGGUUCAUCGAGAAAAAGAAUUUUUAAAGUUGGAAAAGAUAACUAAAGGAUGCGGUACGGAGACUUACGUUAUCUCAGGUGGGGGUGUUAAAGCCAGAAAAUUAACUUCCAAGCCAGCGAACCAGCCAGCGAGCGGAAGCUUUGGGUGCUGCGACCUUUUACGAGCAGCACAAACGAGGUCAAAAGCUCCGCUCACCGUGACGAGACUUAUCAGACAACGGGAUAUAAAAAAGAGCAUCGACAAAAAGGGGCACUAGCAUUACGUUGUAGGAUCAUCCUGGAUCUAUGCGAGACAGUUGAGCUGUUCCGGGGCUUGUUUCACGAGGCAGCAUUGGGACGAGGCGGUACACAUAUCCGGAACUCCAGCCUCGAAAAGCUUUCUGAUAUCCAACUUUUAAAGGGGGACCAUCUCGCCCUGCGCGUACAGUGUGUCGACAUUCUGGAAUGACAUGGCGACACUCCCACCAAAGCUUUCGAGCGAGUUGCCGGACGCGAGUUUAGCAGCGGGAGGCGAGCAUGUUGUCAUCUUCCAGUGCAGCCAAGGAUUGCAGGUUUCGGUGGUGCUGGUUCCAAUUCAGGUCGCGGCUACGUUCCCUGUUGCUGGGCUCUGAAUUGAAAUCAGCGCCCUUGAAACUUUGCGAUCCACACAGGGGGAUAUCGGUUCUAUUUUCUCUCGAUGUCUUUGCACUGGAACAAAUACGUUACAACGCGUGAGGCAAGAUGUUCGUCGUGGAUCAAUCAGGUACGAGGUUUUUUUAUUUGGCGCUCAAAGCGUUAACUAUAGUGGCAAAAAGUACUUAUUUUACAAGCAGUGUUAGCUGGCCGGAAAUCUGCGUUCCUAAUAGUUGCAUGGCUUCACAAACUUGUCCACUUGAAGACAUCAUACCAAUUUAAGCUAAAAUAUAAACUAAGAUCAAGUUUGACUC